rnacentral:tRNA from 1 species
GGGGAUUUAGCUCAGUGGUAGAGCUCUUGCCUAGCAAGUGCAAGGCCCUGGGUUCGGUUCCCAGCUCCG